GAAAAAUUGAAAUAGGCACCCCCCCUUUAGCACCGGUUCGUGAAAACCGGUGCCAAAACAAAUGGGCGGGAUUGAAAAAUUCAGUGUUAGCACCGGUUCCAACCAAACCGAUGCCAAAUCAUAUAAUUAGCACCGUUUCAAACCGGUGCCAAUUUAAAAAAAAGAAAAUAAAAAAAAAGUAUGGAAUAGAGUUGGCACCGGUUCGCCUUAAACCGGUGCCAACUAUGAUAUUUAGCACUGGUUUAAACCGGUGUCAUUUAAAAAACAAAAAACCGGGCGAAAUAAAAAAAAAAAAAAUCGGGUAUUCAUUUCUCUGCUUCUUCUUCUUUUUUCUUUCCCCCCUGCAUUUCAUUUUCGUUAACCCUAACUCUCGUUUUCGCCCUUCUCUUAGCUUCGACCACCUUUCUCCAUAUUUCUCCUCCAUUACGUGUGCUCGUAGUUCUCCAUUGAAGCGCAUUCUGAGCUUUGUCCAUAUCACUCCUCCGCUACGCGUACUAUUAAUUCUCCAUUGAAGCGGAUUCGAGCUUUCUCACCUUCAUUGAAGCAGCUUCGAGCUGAAUAUUGUGGAGGGUAAGAUGUAGUAUUUGUUUGAUGAGACGGGUAGACGCUAUCUUGAUGCAUUUUUCGGGAUUGUGAUUGUGUCUUGUGGCCACUGCCACCCUGAUAUAUUGAAUGCUGUAAUAGAGCAAAGUAAACUUCUUCAGCAUGCGACAACUAUAUAUUUGCACCAUGCCAUAGCUCACUUUGCAGAGGCUUUGGCAUCGAAAAUGCCUGGAAAUCUAAAGGAUGUCUAUUUCGUCAAUUCUGGGACAGAAGCAAAUGAAUUGGCUACGCUGAUGACAAAGCUUUAUACUGGUAAUCAUGGCAUGAUUUCAUUGAGAAAUGCCUACCAUGGUGGAAGUAGUAAUACCAUUGGAUUGACGGCUUUAAAUACAUGGAAAUACUCAAUACCACAGGGUGAUAUUCAUCAUGUGAUCAAUCCAGAUCCCUACCGUGGUGUUUUUCGUUCAGAUUAUUGAUAACAAAAUAAUUGAUUAUAAGGUCUUUCUGCUACAAUGGAAGUCCGCAUAGUCUACUUUGAUAUCAUGAGACCAUGAGACCAGCAGAACAGCAGUAGCAGUGCAGAACCAGGACAACAGUACUAGUGCAGACAGAAGACACACAGCAGCCAGAAACCUUGGACACUUCAAAUUUUUUUUUGGACGAAAAUUGUAGUAUUUUAGCCUUUUUUAAUGAAAAAAAUGUAACUUUAUAUAUAUGUUAAUGUUUCUAUAACAAUUUAAGUGGAAAAAAUGCAAAAAAAAAAAAAAAUUUAUUUUUUUCGGGUAUUUCUGGCAUCGGUUUGGACCAGAACCGGUGCCAAAAGUUUUUU